rnacentral:rRNA from 1 species
GACGAACGCUGGCGGCGUGCUUAACACAUGCAAGUCGAACGAUGAAGCUGGAGCUUGCUCCGGUGGAUUAGUGGCGAACGGGUGAGUAACACGUGAGCAAUCUGCCCUUGACUCUGGGAUAACUGCGGGAAACUGUAGCCAAUACCGGCUACAAGUGCUGAAGGCAUCUUUGGGUCUGGAAAGAAUUUCGGUCAAGGAUGAGCUCGCGGCCUAUCAGCUUGUUGGUGAGGUAAGGGCUCACCAAGGCGACGACGGGUAGCCGGCCUGAGGGGGUGACCGGCCACACUGGGACUGAGACACGGCCCAGACUCCUACGGGAGGCAGCAGUGGGGAAUAUUGCACAAUGGGCGAAAGCCUGAUGCAGCAACGCCGCGUGAGGGAUGAAGGCCUUCGGGUUGUAAACCUCUUUUAGCAGGGAAGAAGCGAAAGUGACGGUACCUGCAGAAAAAGCACCGGCUAACUACGUGCCAGCCGCCGCAGUAA